rnacentral:tRNA from 1 species
ACCUAUGUAGCUCAGUGGAUAGAGCACUAGACUUGGAAUCAAGAAGAUUCAUCUUCCUGAGUUCAAAUCUUUCUUAGACA